GUGGCAGUAUACAGAACAUUAGCUGUAACAUCUACAGCACUCGCCAAUAAAACAAGUAGUAGAAGAAGAACAACAACAACAUCCCGAGGAUGGAGGAAUGUGAGAGAGAUGGCGUUGGAGUACCUGCAAAAAAAAAAGGCGAAAACUUUGUGGAAAUAUCUAAACAAAUGCGAGGAGGUUUACCCGUACUUAACCAAGAGUCAUGCUUUUUGUAAAUUAUGCUACACAGAUUUUAGUGUAUCACACGGAGGGAAAAGUGAUGUGAGCAUGUGGACAUGACAAAUCUGCAAAGCACAGAAACAUGCCCAGCUAAUUACUUCAUUUGUGACUACAAACAUUCAAGUGACAAGAGCAGAGGUGAAAAUGUCAAAACAGCUUUGCGCCAAAAAUAAUGUGGCCUUAAGUUUUUGCGAUGAUUUCAACCGUAGUGUAGCAGACAUGUUCCCUGACUCCAUCGCUCGGAGAUACUCAGCGGGAAAAACGAAAGCCACGCAACUCAUCAAAGGUGCCGUAGCUGUGGAGCUUGAUGAAGGACAUAGCAAGGAUAUGUAGACCUCAUGCCAGAGUUCGUGAUCUGGCAAGCCAUCUCCGUGAUCCAGUUAUGAAGGCAUACUUUAUGUUCCUGAGUGUUGCCCUUAAGCCUUUAGCUGAAUUUAAUAUUGCCUUUCAGUCAGAGGGAGUACAGAUUCACAGGCUUGAAGAGGCGGUUUUUGGGCUACCUCAUACCAGCCAGGGCCAUCUUGGAUGUCCCUCUCAGGGAGGUGAACUAAGGACAGGGACAUCAGUUGGAAGAUGAAGACCUCUUCAUUGGAGCAGAGACAAAGGCAUUCAUCAGAAAUGCAGCUUCCUGUUUCAUCCAAGAAAACAAUCUUUCAAACUGUGAGAACUUUCUAUGAAGCAGUUCUGAGAAAGAUGUUCAACUGCUUUCCGCUCGACUCCCAACUCCCGAAGGACCUGAGAGCGCUGGACCCUGCAUCUCGGCUUGAUAUCACUCCAGGGACAGUUAGUGAUUAGGGACAGUUUACAAUUAACAUGUUAUAUGAAGUAUUGCAUGGUUUACAUAAAUCAGCAGUGUUCAGUUAGCAGCACUAUUGUUUUAUUUUACAGUGACAAGGCUAGUAGCCCUGUUCUCUCAGUUGAGCUUGAAUGAGGAUAGGCUGAGGGAGGAAUUCAUUGACUACCAGGAGACAGAUAGCAAACAUCUCCCCCAAGAUUGGGUUGGAUUUCCCUUAUUUUCAAAUCCCCAUGUUGACAGGUAUGUGGUCCUGGAGAAACCCCUGUCCAGGGCCGGCCCUACCUAAUAAGGGGGUGCAUAGGGCCCACAUGGCCACCAGGGGGCCCCAUGCCCUGGGUUCAGACAGGAAGGGAGAAAGUCUAAAGUUUUUAAUCAUGAGCAAUGAAGUUUAGGCUUUAUCCAUUAGAGGAAGUGGAAAUUGAAAGAUCAGGGAGCUUUAUUGUUAUGACAAUGAGUGUUAAAUUUGCAUUGCCAAAGCUUUUAUAUAUAUAU